UUUCCCUUCCUCUUCUACACUGAUUAGCAUCACGUCCAUAGUUACGAUCAAGUUGUUUCUAGAUCAGAGACUACGUUAGCACCUAUAAAAUCCUCCAUAGGCCUCUUCUCAUCUCACACCAACCAUUUCUCAUCUCCCUCUUGUGAAGAUUGCUAAGCUCUCCCAUUCUUCAGUAGUGACCAUGUCUAGCUAUACCCUCUCGCUGAUCAAUGCUCCCAAGACCAUAGCCA
rnacentral:lncRNA from 1 species